GUCAUCGUAGCUUAACUCACAAAAGCAUAACACUGAAAAUGUUAAUAUGGACAAGAGUCCCGAAUGACA
rnacentral:tRNA from 2 species